UACAGGCGUUUUAAAGAUAAAUGGUAACACUGAACUGGAAAUCCAUCUGGCCGGCUGCCUGCUCUAAUGAAUAACCCCACUUUGGCUCGUGCAAUGUAAGCAGAAAGUUCUCUCCCGGCCUCUUUCGUCUGUCAUGAAUCUACGAGACAGCCGACAUAAUAUCUGGGCGACAACGUUGUGCUAACAGUGCAGUGACUUCCAUUUUCUUUGCUUUCUAUUGAUUUUCACUUAAUAACUGGCGAAAUACUAAACGUCCGCCCUGAGUACCUAAUAAAUCCUGCCUGAGCUUUUUAUUGAGGAGAAUUUAAUAAAAACAACCAUUGCGGCUGAGGGAUUUUUCUUCUGGAUAGAACAUAGGGGUAGGGGACAGCGGGGUUGGGGCAAGAGGAAGCCAUUCGAUUUUUUUCUUCCAUCCUUCCUUUCUUUUUUCUUUCUUUCUUUCUUUCUUUCUUUCUUUCUUUCUUUCUUUCUUUCUUUCUUUCUUUCUUUCUUUCUUUCUUUCUUUCUUUCUUUCUUUCUUUCUUUCUUUCUUUAAUGGGACUUUCUCCCCUUUGGAAAAGAGCUGCCAUGUCAAGUGUGUUUGGAUGGGGUUCCUUUCGAGAAGCCACUGUAAGUUCUGCAUGCUGGCUCUCUGGCCAAUGUCAGGGAAGAAGGCAAAGGUUUGGCAAAAACUAGCUUUCUGGUCCUCUGACGCCUGAUUUCCCUCUUUGGUCAAGGUCGCCCUUAUUGUUGCCAGUGGCUGCCCCAAAUCUGUAAGAGUAUGUAUGCCCUUUGCUAUUCAAGCAAGCCGCUACUUAUGAUGACUCAUCUUAGGAUUUUUUUUGACUUUUGGAGGGUGCAAAAGCGAUACCCUUUCAGUGGGCACUGUACCUUCACUUUUGAAUCUGGUUCUUUUCCAGGGUUAGUGAUAUGCAGUCCGAUCCUCUCUCAGGGAUGCUGGGAGUGUGGGCAGCUCCCAGUCAACCGUGGGAUCACGAGGGUGAACAACCAACACGCUUACAACUAUUCUGUUUUCCCAAUUCGGUACAGGAUUCAAUCAGUCCCAUGAAAUAUACAACACUUCAUUAUAAACUAGGCUUCACGUUAGAUGAUUUUGCCCAAUGGUAGGCUACCAUGGGCACAUUUAAAGGAGACGAGGCUAAACUGUGAUGUAGCUUAGGUUUAGUAAAUGUAUUUUCGACGUAAUCUCUUCAACUUAUCAGAAUAUAACCCCAUCAUAAGUCGAGAGGGAGGUCUACGCUGUUUGUUGUUUCGAGUCUGAUCCUGGCAAUGAAAGCAUGACUUGGCUGUUGGUAUCCUUGCUACUUUCACAGGAUUCUAGUUAUUAAAAGAAGCGGGAAACAUCGCAGAGGUAAAGGCACAUACGCAAUAGUCCAUUUACCACUAACUAGAGGCUCACAAAUUCACUUUUUUGUGCAAAGAGCUUUACUUGUGUCUUUUUAAAAUGCAAAGAAAAUUGGAAAGUGUGGACUUUACACCCCUCACCAUUUUCCUCUGCAUAAACUUUCUAGAACAAUUUCCAUCACUGAUGUUUAAGAAAAUCUCUUCAUUCUGUUACAGGGUCUUCCAGGAACAUUUCACGGCUUAUGGUUCCCACCCCAUCCCCUACAUUUUUUUAAACAUUUUUUUUUAUUUUUGAGAGACACAGAGAGAGAAACAGAGCAGAAGAGAGGGAGGGGCAGAGAGAGAGGGAGACCCAGAAUACGAAGCAGGCUCCAGGCUCUGGGCUGUCAGCACAGAGCCUGACACAGGGUUCAAACCCACAAACCGUGAGAUCAUGACCUGAGCCGAAGUCGAAUGCUCAACCGACUGAGCCACCCAGGCACCCCCGUCCCCUACAUUUUAAUUGAUCUUGAGGUUAUUUUCAAUUCACUGGGUUUAGUGACCAAGUAUUUUAAAAUUUCCUCCUGUGUAUACACUCAUUCCACUCCAUUCUCCAUGAAAUUUCUAAAUAAGAAUCCCCAUAUUUACAAAAAUUAAAAAAUAGAAAUCUUUCCUUAAA
rnacentral:lncRNA from 1 species